rnacentral:rRNA from 1 species
UACGUAGGGGGCAAGCGUUGUCCGGAAUCACUGGGCGUAAAGGGCGCGUAGGCGGCAUGCCAAGCGUGUGGUGAAAGCCCGGGGCUCAACCCCGGGUCGGCCGUGCGGACUGGCGUGCUCGAGCACUGUAGGGGCGGGUGGAAUUCCGGGUGUAGCGGUGGAAUGCGUAGAGAUCCGGAAGAACACCGGUGGCGAAGGCGGCCCGCUGGGCAGGAAGGCUCGCAAGAGCCGGCUGACGCUGAGGCGCGACAGCGUGGGGAGCAAACAGG